UACAGAGGGGGCGAGCGUUGUUCGGAAUUACUGGGCGUAAAGGGCGCGUAGGCGGCCAACUAAGUCAGACGUGAAAUCCCUCGGCUCAACCGGGGAACUGCGUCUGAUACUGGAUGGCUUGAAUUCGGGAGAGGGAUGCGGAAUUCCAGGUGUAGCGGUGAAAUGCGUAGAUAUCUGGAGGAACACCGGUGGCGAAGGCGGCAUCCUGGACCGAGAUUGACGCUGAUGCGCGAAAGCCAGGGGAGCGAACGGG
rnacentral:rRNA from 1 species